rnacentral:rRNA from 1 species
GCCUACGGGGCGCAGCAGUCGAGAAUCUUCCACAAUGGGCGAAAGCCUGAUGGAGCAACGCCGCGUGGGUGAAGAAGGUCUUCGGAUCGUAAAACCCUGUUGUUAGAGAAGAAAGUGCGUGAGAGUAACUGUUCACGUUUCGACGGUAUCUAACCAGAAAGCCACGGCUAACUACGUGCCAGCAGCCGCGGUAAUACGUAGGUGGUAAGCGUUAUCCGGAUUUAUUGGGCGUAAAGGGAACGCAGGCGGUCUUUUAAGUCUGAUGUGAAAGCCUUCGGCUUAACCGGAGUAGUGCAUUGGAAACU